UUUUUUUUACCCUGUUCGGUGCCUUUUCCCCUGCUCCCCGUUUCCCCCCGGCCUCCCCUUUGCCACUUGGGCAACAAAGCUCAUUGUUUCUACUCACUAUGCGCCUGCGCGUCGCCACGCGCAGGCCCUACUGCUGCGCCUGCGCGUUUCUGCGGAUGCUGGGUUUUGGGAGAAAAGGGACUGGCAGGCUGGCGGUGUCCCUGGGGAGCACUCUGUAACGGUCGAACGGCUUGUAUCUUUUUCAACCUCUUCCAUUUCUUCAACAUCCCUACCCCUUUAUUUUAAGCUUUAUCACGUCCUUCAGAUAGGGCCGUUGUUUGGGGGCGCUGGGAACACACAAGGCUUUAGCUAGAUAAACUUAAAAGACCCGUUCAAUUUUUACGAUUUGAUACUGGUCCUUUUACCUUUCGUUAAUAUGUGCUUAUUCACCACCACUACCACCUCAGUGAAAGGAAAGAGUAGGAUAGUAGGGCUUGUGUUGAGGUUAAUUUUUAAAAAGGUGCUGAAGCAGCCUGCUGUAAUUUUCUAAAUAUGUCUAAAAGAUUUGGCAGCCCCAAACCCUUGAACGAAGUUGGUUUUCUGUUUGCUGACAGCCUUUGACUCUUAUUUCAGUGAACGUUCAUUUGUGUAUGCUGGCUGAGAGUUUCUUGUAUCAAGGUAGCACGUUUUUCACACGUUUCUUUUAGCAGUGGAUAGGUGUUGAUUCAUUUAGUAGCGUCUGAAAUUUCAGCUGUGGAUUGUUCCAACUAGAUAAGUCUAUGCAAGGACUUUAAUGAGUUCCAGUACCUAUUCUGUGGUUCUGGUUUGUUAAUGACGGGAUAUUGAGAACAGUCUCUGUAUUAGUGGUCUUGAACAAAACAAUUCUCACAAAUAUGUAUCCCAAAGAUAGGUAACUUUC
rnacentral:lncRNA from 1 species